UUUCAGCUCUUCCUGCAGGCGGUCGAAUACCGCCUGGUCGGCCUCGGCUUCAGCACGCAUUGACUGUCAGACAAAAGAACAAAGUCUUCACCUCAAUAUCAAAACAUCGCAGACCAGUGUGGGAGCAAGCACGUCACAGGUUACCAUUUGCUCUGCAGUCUUCAGGGCGCAAGCCUUUACUGGCUCCUUGUCCACAGGCUGGCGCAGGCGUGUCACUGUUCGAUUCUCGCAUCCCUCCAGCCGCAGGCGAAGGUCCUUGAUCUUUGUCAGGUACUGCCAGGACAACAGGCUCUUCAUGUCCAUGAACAUCGUCUGCCACAUCGUCUGCAGCCUCUGGAGGUUUCCAUCCAGUCUGAGGAAGGUAGAGUGGAGGUUAGCACUUUCUGCUCUGCGUGCACGUGAGUUUGGUCUCUGACUGACCCAAGACACCCCGAGGGGGACUCCGAGCUCACCCGGCAA